rnacentral:misc_RNA from 1 species
AACGCACCUUGCACCUUUUGGUACUCCGAAAGGUAUGCCUGUUUGAGUGUCUGUAAAGUAUAAGGGUUAAUAGCCCGAUUUGAGCACUGCAUUAGAUUGCUUGCUUUAAAUGUGUUAGUCAGGAUUUAUCGAAAGUAACGAAGCGUAAUAAGUUUCGCUUAGUGAAGAGAUGAAUAUUGGCUUCUAAUUGCUAUUAGAGUUGGAAUAAUUCUAAGCACUAUUUAGACUCGACCUCAAAUCAGGUAGGACUACCCGCUGAACUUAA